GACGAACGCUGGCGGCGUGCUUAACACAUGCAAGUCGAACGAUGAAGAAAAGAAUCGAAGCUUCGGCAGAAAUUCAUUUCGGAUUAGUGGCAGACGGGUGAGUAACGCGUGAGCAACCUACCUCUUACAAAGGGAUAGCCUCGGGAAACCGGGAUUAAUACCAUAUAACAUUGCGACGAAGCAUUUCGAUGCAAUCAAAGCUACGGCGGUAAGAGAUGGGCUCGCGUCCCAUUAACCGGAUGGUGAGGUAACGGCUCACCAUAGUGACGAUGGGUAACCGGCCUGAGAGGGUGAACGGUCACACUGGAACUGAGACACGGUCCAGACUCCUACGGGAGGCAGCAGUGGGGAAUAUUGCACAAUGGAGGGAACUCUGAUGCAGCGACGCCGCGUGAGUGAUGAAGGAAUUCGUUUCGUAAAACUCUGUUCUAUGGGAAGAAGGACUGUACCAUAGGAG
rnacentral:rRNA from 1 species